rnacentral:rRNA from 1 species
GUGCGAACGUUAUUCGGAAUCACUGGGCUUAAAGGGCGCGUAGGCGGGCUCGCAGGUCAGGGGUGAAAGCCCACGGCUCAACCGUGGAAGUGCCUUUGAUACCGUGAGUCUCGAGGGAGGUAGGGGCGUGCGGAACUUCCGGUGGAGCGGUGAAAUGCGUAGAUAUCGGAAGGAACAUCGGUGGCGAAAGCGGCGCGUUGGACCUCUUCUGACGCUGAGGCGCGAAAGCCAGGGGAGCAAACGGG